UUAAAUUGAAGAGUUUGAUCAUGGCUCAGAUUGAACGCUGGCGGCAGGCCUAACACAUGCAAGUCGAACGGUAACAGGAAGAAGCCUGCUUCUUUGCUGACGAGUGGCGGACGGGUGAGUAAUGUCUGGGAA
rnacentral:rRNA from 1 species